rnacentral:snRNA from 1 species
GUGUCCUAAGAUGAGCUCAACGA